CAUAACUACUAGGGGUGCCCUUGGUGAGGGCUGAGAGAAAAACGGAAAGUUUUUCAACCCUUCGGACCUGACCCGGGUAAUGCCGGCGUGGGAAAGUAGUUAUUCUUUUCC
rnacentral:ncRNA from 2 species